rnacentral:tRNA from 1 species
UGUUCUGUGGCUUAGUUAAUUAAAGCGCCGGACUAUUAAUACCGAAUCGUGGGUUCGAAUCUCAGCAUAACAA